UUUUUUUUUUUUUUUAUGUAUGUUACAUCAGAACUUUUGCCCGUGUGGACCGAUUUCGACAAAUUUUCUUUUAAUCGAAAGGUGGUGUGUGCCAAUUGGUCCCAUUUAAAUUUAUUUGAAAUCUAACAACUACUUUUCGAGUUAUAUCUAAUAAUGCGUUUUUACUUGACGCUUUUUUCGUCGACCUACGAUGUAUUAUACCGCAUAACUUUCUACUGGAUGUACCGAUUUUGAUAAUUCUUUUUGUGUUAAAAAGGGGAUAUCCAUAGUUUAGUACCAUGAUAAGGAAACCAGGAUCUGAUGAUGCGAUCCCAGAGAAAUCGAGGGAAACUCUCGAAAAUCCGCAAUAACUUUUUACUGGGUGUACCGAUUUUGAUAA
rnacentral:misc_RNA from 1 species